GAGGACAUAGCUCAGUGGUAGAGUGUGUGCUUAGCAUGCACAAGGUCCUGGGGUUCAAUCUCCAAUACCUCCA
rnacentral:tRNA from 1 species